rnacentral:sRNA from 1 species
AGCAGCCGCGGUAAUUCCAGCUCCAAUAGCGUAUAUUAAAGUUGUUGCAGUUAAAAAGCUCGUAGUUGAAUUUCGGGAUUAAUUUACUGGUCGUGCUAUUGUACGUACUGAUUUUAUUGAUUCCUCCCUUCUGACGAACUAUGAUGUCAUUAAUUUGGUGUCAUAGGGAAUCAGGACUGUUACUUUGAAAAAAUUAGAGUGUUUAAAGCAGGCUUACGCUUGAAUACAUUAGCAUGGAAUAACGGAAUAGGACGUUUGAUUCUAUUUUGUUGGUUUCUAGGAUCGACGUAAUGAUUAAUAGGGAUAGUUGGGGGCAUUAGUAUUCAAUUGUCAGAGGUGAAAUUCUUGGAUUUAUUGAAGACUAACUACUGCGAAAGCAUUUGCCAAGGAUGUUUUCAUUAAUCAAGAACGAAAGUUAGGGGAUCGAAGACGAUCAGAUACCGUCGUAGUCUUAACCAUAAACUAUGCCGACUAGGGAUCGGAUGAUGUUAAUUUUUUAAUGACUCAUUCGGCGCCUUAC